rnacentral:rRNA from 1 species
GGGUUGUGAGGUUAAGCGACUAAGCGUACACGGUGGAUGCCCUGGCAGUCAGAGGCGAUGAAGGACGUGCUAAUCUGCGAUAAGCGUCGGUAAGGUGAUAUGAACCGUUAUAACCGGCGAUUUCCGAAUGGGGAAACCCAGUGUGAUUCGUCACACUAUCAUUAACUGAAUCCAUAGGUUAAUGAGGCGAACCGGGGGAACUGAAACAUCUAAGUACCCCGAGGAAAAGAAAUCAACCGAGAUUCCCCCAGUAGCGGCGAGCGAACGGGGAGCAGCCCAGAGCCUGAAUCAGUGUGUGUGUUAGUGGAAGCGUCUGGAAAGGCGCGCGAUACAGGGUGACAGCCCCGUACACAAAAAUGCACAUACUGUGAGCUCGAUGAGUAGGGCGGGACACGUGGUAUCCUGUCUGAAUAUGGGGGGACCAUCCUCCAAGGCUAAAUACUCCUGACUGACCGAUAGUGAACCAGUACCGUGAGGGAAAGGCGAAAAGAACCCCGGCGAGGGGAGUGAAAAAGAACCUGAAACCGUGUACGUACAAGCAGUGGGAGCACAGAGCAAUCUGUGUGACUGCGUACCUUUUGUAUAAUGGGUCAGCGACUUAUAUUCUGUAGCAAGGUUAACCGAAUAGGGGAGCCGAAGGGAAACCGAGUCUUAACUGGGCGUUAAGUUGCAGGGUAUAGACCCGAAACCCGGUGAUCUAGCCAUGGGCAGGUUGAAGGUUGGGUAACACUAACUGGAGGACCGAACCGACUAAUGUUGAAAAAUUAGCGGAUGACUUGUGGCUGGGGGUGAAAGGCCAAUCAAACCGGGAGAUAGCUGGUUCUCCCCGAAAGCUAUUUAGGUAGCGCCUCGUGAAUUCAUCUCCGGGGGUAGAGCACUGUUUCGGCAAGGGGGUCAUCCCGACUUACCAACCCGAUGCAAACUGCGAAUACCGGAGAAUGUUAUCACGGGAGACACACGGCGGGUGCUAACGUCCGUCGUGAAGAGGGAAACAACCCAGACCGCCAGCUAAGGUCCCAAAGUCAUGGUUAAGUGGGAAACGAUGUGGGAAGGCCCAGACAGCCAGGAUGUUGGCUUAGAAGCAGCCAUCAUUUAAAGAAAGCGUAAUAGCUCACUGGUCGAGUCGGCCUGCGCGGAAGAUGUAACGGGGCUAAACCAUGCACCGAAGCUGCGGCAGCGACGCUUAUGCGUUGUUGGGUAGGGGAGCGUUCUGUAAGCCUGCGAAGGUGUGCUGUGAGGCAUGCUGGAGGUAUCAGAAGUGCGAAUGCUGACAUAAGUAACGAUAAAGCGGGUGAAAAGCCCGCUCGCCGGAAGACCAAGGGUUCCUGUCCAACGUUAAUCGGGGCAGGGUGAGUCGACCCCUAAGGCGAGGCCGAAAGGCGUAGUCGAUGGGAAACAGGUUAAUAUUCCUGUACUUGGUGUUACUGCGAAGGGGGGACGGAGAAGGCUAUGUUGGCCGGGCGACGGUUGUCCCGGUUUAAGCGUGUAGGCUGGUUUUCCAGGCAAAUCCGGAAAAUCAAGGCUGAGGCGUGAUGACGAGGCACUACGGUGCUGAAGCAACAAAUGCCCUGCUUCCAGGAAAAGCCUCUAAGCAUCAGGUAACAUCAAAUCGUACCCCAAACCGACACAGGUGGUCAGGUAGAGAAUACCAAGGCGCUUGAGAGAACUCGGGUGAAGGAACUAGGCAAAAUGGUGCCGUAACUUCGGGAGAAGGCACGCUGAUAUGUAGGUGAAGUCCCUCGCGGAUGGAGCUGAAAUCAGUCGAAGAUACCAGCUGGCUGCAACUGUUUAUUAAAAACACAGCACUGUGCAAACACGAAAGUGGACGUAUACGGUGUGACGCCUGCCCGGUGCCGGAAGGUUAAUUGAUGGGGUCAGCGCAAGCGAAGCUCUUGAUCGAAGCCCCGGUAAACGGCGGCCGUAACUAUAACGGUCCUAAGGUAGCGAAAUUCCUUGUCGGGUAAGUUCCGACCUGCACGAAUGGCGUAAUGAUGGCCAGGCUGUCUCCACCCGAGACUCAGUGAAAUUGAACUCGCUGUGAAGAUGCAGUGUACCCGCGGCAAGACGGAAAGACCCCGUGAACCUUUACUAUAGCUUGACACUGAACAUUGAGCCUUGAUGUGUAGGAUAGGUGGGAGGCUUUGAAGUGUGGACGCCAGUCUGCAUGGAGCCGACCUUGAAAUACCACCCUUUAAUGUUUGAUGUUCUAACGUUGACCCGUAAUCCGGGUUGCGGACAGUGUCUGGUGGGUAGUUUGACUGGGGCGGUCUCCUCCUAAAGAGUAACGGAGGAGCACGAAGGUUGGCUAAUCCUGGUCGGACAUCAGGAGGUUAGUGCAAUGGCAUAAGCCAGCUUGACUGCGAGCGUGACGGCGCGAGCAGGUGCGAAAGCAGGUCAUAGUGAUCCGGUGGUUCUGAAUGGAAGGGCCAUCGCUCAACGGAUAAAAGGUACUCCGGGGAUAACAGGCUGAUACCGCCCAAGAGUUCAUAUCGACGGCGGUGUUUGGCACCUCGAUGUCGGCUCAUCACAUCCUGGGGCUGAAGUAGGUCCCAAGGGUAUGGCUGUUCGCCAUUUAAAGUGGUACGCGAGCUGGGUUUAGAACGUCGUGAGACAGUUCGGUCCCUAUCUGCCGUGGGCGCUGGAGAACUGAGGGGGGCUGCUCCUAGUACGAGAGGACCGGAGUGGACGCAUCACUGGUGUUCGGGUUGUCAUGCCAAUGGCACUGCCCGGUAGCUAAAUGCGGAAGAGAUAAGUGCUGAAAGCAUCUAAGCACGAAACUUGCCCCGAGAUGAGUUCUCCCUGACUCCUUGAGAGUCCUGAAGGAACGUUGAAGACGACGACGUUGAUAGGCCGGGUGUGUAAGCGCAGCGAUGCGUUGAGCUAACCGGUACUAAUGAACCGUGAGGCUUAACCUUACAACGCCGAAG